UACGUAGGGGGCAAGCGUUGUCCGGAUUUAUUGGGCGUAAAGAGCGUGUAGGCGGCCGCACAGGUCCGUUGUGAAAACUGGAGGCCUUAACCUUCAGACGGUCGAUGGAAACCGGUGCGGCUAGAGUCCGGAAGAGGAGAAUGGAAUUCCUGGUGUAGCGGUGAAAUGCGCAGAUAUCAGGAGGAACACCGAUGGCGAAGGCAGGUCUCUGGGCCACUGACUGACGCUGGAGAAGCGAAAGCAUGGGGAGCGAACAGG
rnacentral:rRNA from 1 species